UCGACUCUACAGUGCGCCUACGGGCUGUCCCUAAUUUUCCUGAAUUUUUUUCCAAAAAAUUGAAACGCACUACGGAUACCUGCACGUGUCCCAAAAAAUCCCAAAUCAGACCUAGGGCCCCUUUCGGCCAAUAUUGAAAUUCCGGCACGGCGGCUCCGCUGUGCUCCGGCGACGGCGUUGCUGCCUGCGGCGGCGAUCCACCUCGAGUUGGCCGUUUUCGGCCGAAUUCGGCCAAACUUGCAUCGGUCCC
rnacentral:lncRNA from 1 species